GAUGAACGCUGGCGGCGUGCCUAAUACAUGCAAGUCGAGCGAACAGACGAGGAGCUUGCUCCUCUGACGUUAGCGGCGGACGGGUGAGUAACACGUGGAUAACCUACCUAUAAGACUGGGAUAACUUCGGGAAACCGGAGCUAAUACCGGAUAAUAUAUUGAACCGCAUGGUUCAAUAGUGAAAGACGGUUUUGCUGUCACUUAUAGAUGGAUCCGCGCCGCAUUAGCUAGUUGGUAAGGUAACGGCUUACCAAGGCAACGAUGCGUAGCCGACCUGAGGGGGUGAUCGGCCACACUGGAACUGAGACACGGUCCAGACUCCUACGGGAGGCAGCAGUAGGGAAUGUUCCGCAAUGGGCGAAAGCCUGACGGAGCAACGCCGCGGGAGUGAUGAAGGUCUUCGGAUCGUAAAACGCUGUUAUUAGGGAAGAACAAAUGUGUAAGUAACUAUGCACGUCUUGACGGUACCUAAUCAGAAAGCCACGGCUAACUACGU
rnacentral:rRNA from 1 species